rnacentral:rRNA from 1 species
UGAGGAAUAUUGGGCAAUGCCCGCAAGGGUGACCCAGCAACGCCGCGUGGAGGAUGAAUGUCGUAAGAUUGUAAACUCCUGUUAGAGGGGAAGAAUAGUACCGGUUGGACCGGUAUAUGACUGUACCCUCAGAGAAAGCCCCGGCUAACUACGUGCCAGCAGCCGCGGUGAUACGUAGGGGGCAAGCGUUGUCCGGAUUUACUGGGUGUAAAGGGCGCGCAGGCGGGAUAAAAAGUCAGUGGUGAAAUCCUACAGCUUAACUGUAGAACUGCCUUUGAUACUUUUAUUCUUGAGUUCGGGAGAGAGAGACGGAAUUCCAGGUGUAGUGGUGAAAUACGUAGAUAUCUGGAAGAACACCAGUUGCGAAGGCGGUCUCUUGGUCCGACACUGACGCUGAGGCGCGAAAGCGUGGGGAGCAAACA